rnacentral:rRNA from 1 species
UCUUUUAAUUGAAGGCUGGAAUGAAUGGUUGGACGAAAUAUUAGUUGUUUCAUAAAUAUUUAAAAUAUAAUUUUAUUUUUUAGUUAAAAAGCUAAAAUUUAUUUAAAAGACGAGAAGACCCUAUAGAUCUUUAUAAUUUAAUUAUUUUAUUUAUUUAGAAUUUUUUAAGUAUUAUUUAUUAAAUUAUUAUAUUGGGGUGAUAGUAAAAUUUAAUAAACUUUUAUAAUUUUUUUUUACAUUUAUUUAUGAUUUAGUGAUCCAUUAAUAAUGAUUAAUAAAUUAAGUUACCUUAGGGAUAACAGCGUAAUUUUUUUAGAGAGUUCAUAUUAAUAAAAAAGAUUGC